rnacentral:antisense_RNA from 1 species
CUUCAACGACCCCAACCACAACGGACGCUCUCGACCCUGCCCAUACGUGGCCAACAACGCCUGCGCCUC